ACUCCUACGGGAGGCAGCAGUGGGGAAUAUUGGACAAUGGGGGGAACCCUGAUCCAGCCAUGCCGCGUGUGUGAAGAAGGCCUUAUGGUUGUAAAGCACUUUAAGCGAGGAGGAGGCUACUGAGACUAAUACUCUUGGAUAGUGGACGUUACUCGCAGAAUAAGCACCGGCUAACUCUGUGCCAGCAGCCGCGGUAAUACAGAGGGUGCGAGCGUUAAUCGGAUUUACUGGGCGUAAAGCGUGCGUAGGCGGCUUUUAAGUCGGAUGUGAAAUCCCCGAGCUUAACUUGGGAAUUGCAUUCGAUACUGGGGAAGCUAGAGUAUGGGAGAGGAUGGUAGAAUUCCAGGUGUAGCGGUGAAAUGCGUAGAGAUCUGGAGGAAUACCGAUGGCGAAGGCAGCCAUCUGGCCUAAUACUGACGCUGAGGUACGAAAGCAU
rnacentral:rRNA from 1 species